AUUGAACGCUGGCGGCAUGCCUUACACAUGCAAGUCGAACGGCAGCACGGGAGCAAUCCUGGUGGCGAGUGGCGAACGGGUGAGUAAUAUAUCGGAACGUGCCCAGUCGUGGGGAUAACGUAGCGAAAGCUACGCUAAUACCGCAUACGAUCUAUGGAUGAAAGCGGGGGAUCGCAAGACCUCGCGCGAUUGGAGCGGCCGAUAUCAGAUUAGGUAGUUGGUGAGGUAAAGGCUCACCAAGCCAACGAUCUGUAGCUGGUCUGAGAGGACGACCAGCCACACUGGGACUGAGACACGGCCCAGACUCCUACGGGAGGCAGCAGUGGGGAAUUUUGGACAAUGGGCGCAAGCCUGAUCCAGCAAUGCCGCGUGCAGGAUGAAGGCC
rnacentral:rRNA from 1 species